AGUCUAGCUGGGGUCAAAGGGCAUGUGUCAUGCUGGGAAAUGUAGUCUCAUUGGCCUGUGCUCUGCAGGAGUGGUAGAACAGUAAGAGAAAUAACUGUAAGUUCUAGGUGUGCAACACUGCUCAAAAAUUUAUUGCUAGUAUGCGAUACCGCUAUGCUUGAACUGUAUAUUUAUGUGAAGUUGUCUUAAGAGCGUGAGUGAAGGCAACAGUUGUUUCCAAUUUCAACCUGUGAAUUCAGUGGUCACAGAAGCAAAGCAGUAUCUUCAGUUAAGUACGGUAGUCUCCCCUCCUCCCCCCGUAUCUACGAUUUUACUUUCAGCAGUUUCGCUUACCAGCGGUCAACUAAGGACUGACAGUAUUAAAUGGAAAAUGCCAGAAAUAAACAAUUCGUAACUUUUUAAUUUCCAUGGGCCUAAUGAAAUUUCAUGCUACCCUGUUUCAUCCCACCUGAGAUGUGAAUCGUCCCUUUGUCCAACAUACCCCUAACACCUGUUAAGUCACUUACCAGCUUAGGAAUUAUCAGAUGUACUGUCACGGUGUUGCAGUGCUUUCUCUCAAGUAACCCUCAUUUUAUUAAAUAAUUGUCCCAAAGUGCAAGAGGAGUAAUGCUGGCAGUUUGGACUUGCCAAACUGAAGUUGUAAACUGCUUCCUUUAAAUGUAAAGGUGGAAGUUCUCAGCUUAAGAAAAGAAAAUCGUAUGCUGAGCUUACUGAGAUCUACAGAAAGAACGAAUCUUCUAGCCCCGAAAUUGUGAAAGAGGAAAAAGAAAUUAAUUCCAGUUUUGCUGUUGUAUCUCAAACGGCAAAAGUUACAGCCACAGUGUAUGUUAAGUGCUUAGUUAAGAUAGAAAAGGCAUUAAGUUGUAUCCUUACUUACAGGGAAAAAAAAAGAAAAUAAGUUUUUUAAAAAGAAAAGAGGCAUUAGGCUUAUAGGUGGAAGACAUGAACAAAAAAUGUGUUCCAACUGACAGCAACCUGUUACACCGGAAAGCAUUGAGCCUAUAUAAUGGCUUCAGCAAGGAGUCUCCCAAAACAAGUAGCACCAAGCCACUUACUGAAAGUAAUGUAUGGUUACACCAAUUUAGGAAUAGGUUUAGACUGCAAAAUAUACAAAUUACUGGAUGGGUUGGGUGCAGUGGCUCAUGCCUGUAAUACCAGCACUUUGGGAGGCCAGGGCAGAUGGAUCACCUAAGGUCAAAAGUUCGAGACCAGCCUGGCCAACGUGGUGACACCCCAUCUGUACUAAAAUUAAAAAAAAAAAAUUAGCCAGGCAUGGUGGCACAUGCCUGUAAUCCCAACUGCUUGGGAGGCUGAGGCAGGAGAAUCGUUUGAACCUGGGAAGCAGAGGUUGCAGUGAACUGAGAUUGUGCUAUUGCACUUCUGCCUGGGUGACAAGAGUGAAACUCCAGCUCAAAAAAAAAAAAAAUUACUGGAGGUCAGUUGUGGUGGCUCAUACCUGUAAUUCCAGCAUUUGGGGAGACUAAAUAAGGCGGAUCACUUGAGCGCAGGAAUUUGAGGCCAGCCUGGGCAAUGUGGCAAAACCCUGUUUCCACAAAAAGCACAAAAAUUAGCUGGGUGUGAUAGCACACACCUAUAGUCCCGGCUCCUCAGGAGACUGAGGUAUGAAGAUCGUCUGAGCCUGGGAGUUUGAAGCUGCAAUGAGCUGUGAUCACACCACUGCACUCCAGCCUGGGUGACAGAGUGAGACCCUGUCUCAAAUAAAUAUGCAGAUAUUACUGGAGAGGCUACAGCAAGACAAGUUGGUGGAGAAGGAUUUAGGGAUAGGCUUGAUGAAGAAGUGGAAGAUCAUAUUGAAGGCCAUUGAGUAGUGUUAACAAAUAAGGAAUUAGAAGAGCUUAUCAAGUCAUCUACAGAGAAAGCGGAAAAUGAAGGAGAAACUGAAACAGAAACAGCAACAUGGGCAUUACCAAAAUUUGCCGAAGUGUUUCAAAUUGCACAGACAUUAAAGGACAAUUAUGCAAUACAAUCUUCAGAUAGAACACAGCAUUGAAAUCACUUGUAUGAUCACCAAAGAAUUACAACUUCUGCAGCCACACUUUGAUGAAUUACAAAGAAAGAAGCCAGGCGUAGUGGCUAAUGCCUGGGUAAUCCCAGAACUUUGGGAGGCCGAGGUGGGCAGAUCACUUGAGGCCCAGAGUUUGAGACCAUCCUGGCCAUCAUGGUAACACCCUGUCUCUACUGAAAAUACAAAAAUUAGCCUGGCAUGGUGGCACGUACUUGUAAUCCCAACUACUCGGGAGGCUGAGGCAGGAGAAUUGCUUAAACCCAGGAGGCAGAGGUUGCAGUGAGGCGAGAUUGCGCCACUGCACUCUAGCCUGGCGACAGAGACUCUGUCUCAGAAAAAAAAAAAAAAUUAAAAGGAAAGAGAUGGCCAGGUGCAGUGGCUCGCGCUUGUAAUCCCACAUUUUGGGAGGCUGAGAUGGGUGGAUCACCUGAGCUCACAAGUUCGAGACCAGCCUGGGCAACAUGGUGAAACCUUGUCUCUACAAAAAAUGCAAAAAACUAGCAGAGUGUGGUUGCGUGUGCCUGCAGUCCCAGCUACUCAGAAGGCUGAGGUGAGAGAAUCACCUGAGCCCAGGAGGUCGAGGCUGCAGUGACCCAUGAUCACGCCACUGAACCGCAACCUAGGCAACAGAGUGAGACCCUGUCUCAAAAAAAAGAAAGAGACACCCUCCAGUAAUAUCGUUCUUCCAAAAGUUUUUGGCAAAAGUGCAAUUAUCAAGGACCCCCAAUCAUCAGUUGACAUUGUCUGAUCCUGAUAUCCAACCAUUGUCAUCAUCACAGCUCAAUGAUCCAGGAUCACCCAAAGCAGAUUGUCCUCCUGACAUCUCAGAUGGUCAGUAGUGGCCUAACACUACCUCAUAAUGCGUGUCAUUCACCUCACUUCAUCUCAUCACACAGGCGUUUUGUCUUCUCACAUAAUCACAAGAAGAAGGGUGAGUACAGUACAAUAAGACAUUUUGAGAGAGAGAGACCACAUUCACAAAACUGAUCGUAGUAUGUUGUUAUAAUGAUUCCAUUUUGUUAGUAGUUGUUAUUAAUCUCUUACUGUGCCUAAUUUAUAAAUUAAACUUUAUCGUACAUGUAUAUAUAGAGAAAAAAGGCCAGGUGUGGUGGCUCACGCCUGUAAUCCCAGCACUUCGGGAGGCCAAGGCAGGAGGAUCACAAGGUUAGGAGUUUGAGACCAGCCUGACCAACAUGGUGAAACCCCGUCUCUACUAAAAAUACAAAAAUUAGGGUGAGGUGGCGCAUGCCUGUAAUCCCAGCUACUCAGGAGGGUGAGGCAGGAAAAUCCCUUGAACCUGGAAGGUGGAGGUUGCAGUGAGCUGAGAUCGCGCCACUGCACUCCAGCCUGGGUGACAGAGCCAGACGUUGUCUCAAAAAAAAAAAAAAAAAAGUGGGCCAGGCACAGUGGCUCAUGCCUGUAAUCCCAGCACUUUGGGAGGCUGAGGCAGGCAGAUCACCUGAGGUCGAGAGUUCAAGACCAGCCUGACCAGCAUGGAGAAACCCCAUCUCUAUUAAAAAUACAAAAAAUUAGCCAGGCAUGGUGGUGCAUGCCUGUAAUCCCAGCUACUUGGGAGGCUGAGGCAGGAGAAUUGCUUGAACCCGGGAGGCAGGGGUUGUGGUGAGCCAAGAUAGUGUCACUGCACUCCAGCCUGGGCGACAGAGCGAAACUCUGUCUCAAAAAAAAAAAAAAAGAGUUCUCAAGAUGGAUUUGUGAUGUCUACCCAGGAUGGGGAGUGGUGACACAUGGGCAAAGUAGCUGCCAUCCUGGCUGAGAAUUCAACUGCCAUGACAGAGAUUCACAGAGUGGACUGGCUCAAUACUGGAGAGCCCUGGGCUUUGCUGGUCUUUAUUUUUCUGGUCUCUCAGACAAAUGCGCAGCCUUUUCAAACUUUGACCAACUCGUAUUAGCUUAUUCAAAACUGUGUGAAAAAGAAUAAGCCACUGGUACAUGCAAGAAUUUGGAUGACUCACAGAUAUUAUGCUGAGUGAAAGAAACCAGAUACAAAAGCCCAUAUGAUUCCACGUAUACAAAGCUCAAGAGCAGGCAAAACUGAUCUGUGGUGUUAGGAAUCAGAAUAAUGGUUUCUUCCAGGGAGGUACAGACCAGGAAGAGGACCCUUAUGAGGUGCUAACAGGUUCAAUAGCAGGAUCCAGAGGUGUUCACAUGGCUGUAUACAAAUUCAUCAGUCUUUAUACUUAAGAUCAGUGGUCUUUACAUAUCUUAUGUACUUUAUUAAACAUGUUACAAUUUUUUUUUUAAUCUCUAGGCUGGGCAUGGUGGCUCAUGCCUGUAAUCCCAGCACUUUGAGAGGCCGAGACGGGUGGAUCACUUGAGGUCAGGAAUUCUAGACCAGCCUGGCCAACAUGGUGAAAUCCAGAGUCUACUAAAAAAUGUAAAAAUGAGCCAGUGUGGUGGGGGGCACCUGUAAUCCCAGCCACUCAGGAGGCUGAGGCAGGAGAAUCACUUGAACCUGGGAGGUGGAGGUUGCAGUGAGCCAAGAUCAUGCCACUGCACUCCAGCCUGGGUGACACAGCAAGACCCGUCUUAUACAUAAAUAAAAUCUCUAGCUGGGCAUGGUGGCUCACGCCUGUAAUCUCAGCACUUUGGGAAACCAAGGUGGGAGGAUUGCUUGAGGCCACAGUUCAGCACCAUCCUGGGCAACAUAGUGAGAUCUCUUCUUUAGAAAAAAAAUUUAAAAAUUAGUCAGGCAUGGUGGCACAAGCCUGGUAGUCUGGGCUACUUGGGAAGCUGAGGUGGAAAAAUCACAUGGGCCCAGGAGUUCAAAGCUGCAGUGAACUAUGAUGACUACACUGCACUCCAGCCUGGGCAACAGAGGGAGGUCCUGUCUCAAAAAAAAAGCGAACAACAACAAAACACACACACACACACACACACACACACAAGACAUCUCUAAUAAGAGCAGCAAUAGAAGAAUAAUUUUUAUUUAUUUGUGAAGUCCUUUUGUAUAAAAAAAUCCCAUCUCAUCUCCAUCAAGCCCCAUGAAAUAAGCAUUGCUACGCCACCGCCAUUUUACAGUUGAGGAAACUGAGGCCCAAAGAAGUAGGAACUGACUAAAGUCACAUGGUUCAAGAUACACAGCCAUAUAUUUGUAACCUUCUUUGAAAUAUUAAUUAUGAAAUAAAACUUUAAUUAUAAAACUUAGUCUCACAUAGUUAUACCGAAUUAAAUACAGAGGACUUUGCUGAUUUUUAGUCGUAAAAAAGAGUUCAUCCAACAUUCUCUCCUGAUUAAACAACAUAACAAAACAAAAAAACACAACCCAAAACAGUCAGCUAGGAAGAUGAGAGAACUGCCCAACCUGGUAAAAGGCGUCUGUGCAAACCCACGGCUAACAUCAUACCUCACGGUGAAGACAAAGACUGAAAGCUUCCCCCUGAGAUCAGGAGUAAAAUAAGGAUGCCUACUCUCAUCAGUUUCAAUCUACAUUGUACUGAAAGUUCUUGCCAGGGCAAUUAAGCAAGAAAAAUAAAUAAAAGGCAUCCAGAUUGGAAAAGCAGAGGUAAAGCUAUUUCUACUUGCAGAUGAAAUGAUCUCAUACAUAGAAAACCCUAAAGAAUAUACAGAAAGCUAUUAGAACCAAAAAUGAGUUCAGCAAAGUUCAACAAUAUCAACACACAAAAAUAAGCCGUAUUUCUGUACCUCAGCAAUAAACAAUAUGACAAUUAUAUUAAGAAUCAUUUCCAUUUACAAUAGCAUCAACAAUAAUAAAGUUAUUUGGCAAUAAAUUUAACCAUGGAAAGGAAAGGCUUGCCUUCUGAAAAGUACCAAGCCUUGCUAAAAGAAAUUAAGAAAAACUUAAAUAAAUGGAAAGAUACUCCAUGUUCCUGGAUUGGAGGACUUAAUAUUGUUAACAUAGCAACACUCUCCAAAUUGAUCAAUAGAGUCAAUACAACUCUUUGAAAAUCUGAGCUUUUUUUCAGAAAUGGACGAGUUUAUCCUAUACCUCAUAUGGAAUCACAAGAGACCCUGAAUAGUCAAAACAACAUUUAAAAAGAAAAACACAGUUGGAGGACUCACACAUCCUGAUUUCAAAACUUGCUACAAAGCUACAAUAAUCAAAGAAGUUUAUAGAUUGACUGAAUAGAAUUGAGAGUACGAAAAUAAACCUAUACAUCUACAGUCAAUUGAUUUUCAACAAGUGUGCUAAGACCAUUAAAUGGGGGAAACAUAGUCUCUUCAACAAAUGGUGCUAGGACAGCUGGGUAUCCAAACGCAAAGGAACGAAGCCAGGCCCCAUGGCUCAUGCCUGCAAUCCCAGCACUUGGGAGGCCAAGGCAGGAAGAUUGCUUGAGCCCAGGAGUUCAAGACCAGCCUAGGUAACAUAGUCAGACCCCAGCUCUCCAAAAAACAUAAUAAUAAUAAACAAAAUUAGCCAGGCACGGUGGUGUGUGCCUGUAGUGUCAGUUACUCAGGAGGCUGAGGUGGAAGGAUCACUUGAGCCUAGGAAUUCAAGGCUGCAGUGAGCUGUGAUUUCGUCAUUCCACUCUAGGGUGACAAAGUGAGACCCUGUCUCCCAGGCUGACCCUAUAUGAAAUAUCCAAAAUAGUCAAAUCCAUAGAGAUAGAAAACAGAUUAGUGGUUGCCAGCGUCUAGAGGAGGAUAAAAGGAGAAUGGCUGCCUAAUGGUUCAUGGUUUCUUUUGGGGAUGAUGAAAAUGUUAUGUAACUAGAUUGUGGUGAUGGUUACACAAUAUUGUGAAUAUAUUUAAAAAUGCUGAAUUGUAUACUUUGGUUAAAAUGUUAAUUUCUUUUUUCUUUGGAGACGGAGUCUCACUCUGCUGCCCAGGCUGAAGUGCAGUGGCAUAGUUUUGGCUCACUGCAACCUCCACCUCCCAGGUUCAAGCCAUUCUCCUGCCUCAGCCUCCUGAGGAGCUGAGAGUACAGGCACUGCCACCACACCUGGCUAAUUUUUGCAUUUUUACUAUGUUGGCCAGAGUGGUCUCAAACUCCUGACCUCAGGUGAUUCGCCCACCUCAGCCUCCCAAAGUGUUGAGAUUACAGGUGUGAGCCAUCACACUCAGCCAGAUUGUCUCAUCUAAUCAUCCCACUACAGUUCUAUGAGGCAGGUACAGAUUACUGCUAAGGAAACAGAAGCUUGGAGAGGUUGAAUAACUUGCUCAAGAUCACACCAUUAUUGAGUGGUCUGGUUGGCACCCGAACCGUGAGAAAGUAACAGAUAAUCUUUUGUCAGCACGUUAUGCUAAGCCAGACACUGAGCCAAGGCUUUUAUGUGAUUACCUCAUUUAGCCUACACAACAACCACAUGAGGCAGGCUUUAUUGCUUCCAUUUUAUACAUCAGCUGCUAGAGAAACAGAGGUUGGACAGCUUGCCCAAGAUCAUACAGCUUGUAGGAGGCAGAGCUGGGAUUCUUACUGUAAAGGCAACCGCUUUUGCCACUGUACUAUUCUGCCUACGUGCAAAUGAAUGAAUGAAUGAAUGAACAGAGAGACACUCACACAUGCAAACAAGUAAAUAAAUAAAGUGUGGUAGGCCUGGGAGCUGGUCUGAUCUCCCAGGGGAGUGGGGCAAAGAUAGCGAUAGGGGCAGGAAAUACCUGGCCCAGCAGAACUUGAGGGGUUAAGUAAGGAGUGAGGAGGAGACGGGUAAGAUUGUUGAUGAGAAAGGACCCUACACGUGUGCUGAUGGUGGGUUACAAGGCCUACUUCAUACCCAUAAGCAGGCCACGCAGCAGGCCCUAGAGGGCCACACCGGCUCCAGUAAAUGACUGUGACCCCCGGGACUUUACCCCAGAGAAACCCACAUCCUCACCCAGGCCCAAGGCAUAGGUAGACUGGAAGUCUCCCUGCACAAGGAAGGAAAAGUCCAUAUCCAAUCCCUUAGAAUAUCCUGUUGGCUCGACCUUCAAAAUAUAUCCAGAACCCUAUCAUUUCUUACCACCUUCAUUGCUGUCACUCUGGCCCAAGUCACCAUCAUCUCUUGCCUGCAGUACUACAGUAGCCUCCUGGUGGACAGGAUAAUGGUCCUCCAAAGAUGUCCAUGUCCUCACCCCCAGAAUGUCACCUUAAAUGGACCUUGCAGAAGUGUUCGGGAUCUUGAAAUAAUUAUUCUGGAUUUUCCAGCUGGCAUCAAUGUAAUCACAAAACAGAAGCAAGAGGUUUCAAAGUCAGAGACUGCAGAAUGCUACCCUUCUGGCUUUGAAUGGAGAAAGGGGCCACAAGCCAAGGAAUGCAGGUGGCUUCUAGAAACCAGGAAAGACAAUGGAACAGAUUCUCUUCUAGAGCUUCCAGAAGGACACAGCCCUUCCAACCUCUUGAGUGUAGUCCACUGAGAACCAUAGCAGACUUCUGACCUCCAGAGUGACACUGAGGAUGCCAAACUGUCUUCUGGAGCUGCCAUGAGCAGCCAAUUUGUGAUCUCUGCUUUACCUGAAUUCUUUCCCUGAACUGUGACAGCAACCUCACCAGACAGGAUCUCACAGGCUGGAAUGCAGUGAUGCAAUCUCAGCUCACUGCAACCUCUGCCUCCUGGAUUCAAGUGAUUCACCUGCCUCAGCCUCCCAAGUAACUGGAAUUACAGGUGCAUGCCACCACGCUUGGCUAAUCUUUGUAUUUUUAGUCAAGAUGGGAUUUCACCAUAUUGGCCAGGCUGGUCUCGAACUCCUGACCUCAGGUGAUCCAACUGCCUCGGCCUUCCAAAGGGCUGGGAUAACAGGCAUAAGCUGCCACGCCGGCCUUGCUUCCCUUAUCAUCUCUCCAUCACUCCCCCGUGUGACCGCUCGGGACCCCACAGCCACCACAAGCUUCAGAGAGGAGUGCUGCCACCUAGGGGCAAAGAAGGAAACUGCCACAGCUUGGCCCAAGCCACCUGGACACAUGUUACAACAAAAACAUUUAUUGAGCACUUUCUGCGUGCCGGGUGCCAUAUCAAGCCCCUGGUGCAUUUCAUCAUACUGGAUCCCCAGGACAACCCUAUGAGGUAGUAGCAUCGUAAGCCCCAUUGUACAGAUGAGGAACACGGGGCUCAGAGAGGUGAAGUGACUUGCCCAAGGUCACACAACAAGUGUGUGGCAACUCUUGGAUUUGAAGCCAGAUCUGUCUCAUAGCUGCAGUCUAGCCGUGACACUUGAGUGCCUCCUAAAAGCCUACAUCACAGAGCUGUCUGAGGAUGCUAUGGGGAACCGUCUGUGAAAAGGUCCAAUAGCUAAACUCCGUCCAUGGCAGGCAUCCUGAAGAGCAUCGGGCUAGAGGCCACCAGGAGGCAGCCUGGAGGCAGGGUGGACAGGACCACCCUGUCUUCUCUCCUAGGGGGCCCAAUCACCAGCCUGACAGCCGGACCCCAGUCUGCUCAGGCUCCAGCCAUCUCUCUCCUGCCACGGCUCUGCCAUGGGCAGCCCUAUCCACAUGGGCAGCCCUGCCCACGACCCUGAAUGUUCCAGGGCUUUGCAGGAGAAAGGACCAGGAGGGUGGCCACGGGCCAAGGUUUAUGAAUUACAUUCAGCAGGAUUUCUGCCAAUGUCUUGAUGGCUCGCUUCCACUGGGAAGGAUCUCCAGUCUGCCUGGACCCAAACAGGAGCAACAGGCCUGCCCAGGAAACAGACACCCCAGCUCCAUCACUCCGAGGCCUGGAUGUAGACAGGCACAGCGAGCAUGGCACAGGGGCCCUCAGCCCCGGCCUGCAGCUCCGCCAGAGCCAGGUUGGAGCCCAGCCCCUCAGCAUGCCCAGGUACCACGAGCUCCGGCUCUGCGCCCACUGCACCUCCCACAACGAUGGACAGCACCGCGUCCGGCUCUGCGAAGGGCGGUUUGCCAGGGACAGCCUCGGGCACCAGCCCAGCCCCUGCAUCCUUCAGCUCCUCCAGCCCCAGCGGGUCAGGCAAGGGGGUCACCACCUUGCGCCCACCAGUGCUGCCACUGCGGGGGGCUGCCCUCCUCUGGGGGGGACGCCGGGUCUGCAGGUCCUUGUCCUUUUGGGGGCCAAGACGACAGCGGUGAUCUUUGAGGUGUUUGGGGCGGGAAAAGCCCUUGGCACAGCCAGCACAGCGGAACUUGUAGUUGCCCGUGUGGGCACGCUGGUGCUCAGCGAGGUGGGCACGGCGGCUGAAGGACUUGCUGCACAGGGCGCAUUUGUGGAGCUUCAUGCCUGGGGGGGGGUGAGGGAAAGUCAGUGAGAAGCAUCCAGACCUUCACCCCGCAACAGUGCCCUGCACUGGGAAUCAAAUCCAGGCUCUUGCCCCACAAGCGCCUGUAUGAUCUGGCCCCAACUCUCUCCACCAUCAUCAUCUGCCUUCUCCCAGCCACUCUCUGUGCCAGCCACAGCCGCUGUCCUCAGAGGUGCCACGCUGGCUCCUGCUUCUGCAGCUCUGCACCUGUGGUUUUCCUCUGCCUGGAGCAGCCGCUCAUUCCUUGCACCUUGGCUCGCUCUGCCAGGUCCUCUCUCACCUGGGUGACCAGGGCAGCAAUCUCCACUCUGCUCUGCCCCACUCAUUCAGCCCCCUAGACCAUCCCCCACAGGGCAGCUGGAGAUGUCGGCAAAACACACACAUGAUCAUGACAUACCGGCCCCCAACCUCUCAUGGUCUCUGGGGCUGUCUGGUCCUCCCCUUCAGCCCUCAGUUCCUUCCCCUACCCCUCUCCCUCUCCUCUCUGUGCUCCAGGCCUCCCACCUACCUUUCCUUGUCCCUGCCUCAAGGCUAGUACUUGAUGCUCCCUCACUCUGGAAAGCUAUUUCCUGGCCCUUCUCAUCCCUCAGGACUCAGCCAUCAUACCACCUCCUCAGGGGGCCUCCUUGAUACAUGCACCCUGUUUAUUUCCAUCUUGGCCCUCGGCAUACUUUGCUGUUAUGUGUUUAUUUGUUCAAUGGUUAUUUUCUGUCUCUUCCACUAAAUGUUAGGCACCCCAGGAGGGCAGGAUGGCAUUCUGCCUCUCUGAUUCCUUCUGCCUGACAUAUGGUUGGUUCUCAAAAAUCACUGGUGCCUCCAUGUCCACAAUGAAAUCAACUCUAGCCCACACUCCCCCUGGGCUGGGCACCUGCAUUUGGCCCCCUCAACCUCGCUGGAAUGGAGGCUCAGAGAGGGGCAGUGCCUUGCCUGAGGCUACCCAGCAGGAAAGCGGCAGCGCCAAGACUCAAACCCAGCCCUGUGUGUCCAAGUCCUUGACCUACUCUCCCAGUUUUCAAACUUUCUUUGGCCACUGAUCCCUUUCUGUAAAUCUCCUCAAACAGGGGAGACUUUACCUCUCAGGGACUCAGCAAUGCCUAGAGACAUUUUUGGUUGUCACAACUGUGGGGGGAUGCCACUGACACCCAGUGGGUAGAGGCCAAGGGUGCAGCUAAACAUCCUGCAGGGCACAGGACAAAAUUAUCUGGCCCAGGCCGGGCGCGGCGGCACAUGCCUAUAAUCUCAGCACGUUGGGAGUCUGAGGUGGGCAGAUCACUUGAGGUCAGGAGUUCUAGACCAGACUGACCAGCAGGGUGAAACCCCAUUUCUACUAAAAUACAAAAAUUAGCUGGGCCUGGUGGUGGGCACCUGUAAUCCCAGCUACUAGGGAGGCUGAGGCAGGAGAAUUGCUUGAACUGGGGAGGGCCGAGAUCAUGCCACUGCACUCCAGCCUGGGCAAUAAAGCAAGACUCUGUCUCAAACACAAAAAAAAUUUAUCUGGCCCAAAAUGUCGAUGGUGCCAGGGUUGAAGAACCUUGUUCUCGACCUCAGCUGGCAUGUGGAAGGCCAGCCAGGCUGCUCUGAGGAGCUGCUGAGAAACUGAGGAGUGGCUUGGAGACCCCUGCCCUACCCUACCAUCAAGGAAGCUUCCUGGCCAUGUCUUGGACCCAGCUGAUUCCCUCCACACCUGGUCCACACCUCUAUCACACUGGGCACCGUUCCGACUGAGUCAUCUCUGCUCAGGUCAGCUUCCUCCUUGGACUGGGGGACUAUGUCUGAUUCAUCUCUGUUCACCCUAAAGUCCCUGACUCAGGCCUGGCUCAUAGCCCACAUAACUGAAUGUGCCAGGCAGGGAAAUCAAGCCUCACGGGUUAUGUCUGCUCUUUCUCCUCCUGUCGAGUCUAUCCAAGUGAACUAGAGCUGAACCAGACCCUCCUGGCAGGCCCAUGAGCCACUUACCAGAGUGGGAGAGGAUGUGGGCCUUCAGCUUGUCCGGUCGGUUGAACUCCUUACUGCAGCCUGUGUGCGUCCUAAAACCCAAAGUCACUGGUCAGGGGGAGUUCACCAAGCUUAGGACCCUCUUGCUGGCCCCGCCACUAUCCCUGAACAUGAGGGACACUCUUGUCCACCCUAAGGGCUGGUCAAGGAGGUAAAGUGGGGAGUGAGGCAUGUAGGGCCCAGAACAAGAUAAAAGGAGAAAGACCUGCCCAGGCAUGGUGGCUGACGGCUAUAAUCCCAGGUACUUGGGAGGCUGAGGGAGGAGAAUCGCUUGAACCCAGGCGGUAGAGGUUGCAGUGAGCCGAGAUCGUGCUACUGCACUCCAGCCUAGAGUGAGACUCCGUCUCACACACACACAAAAAAGAGAACCCUGACUUCAGGCCUGCCAUCUGUCUCACCCUCCCUAGCAGCCCUGCUGGAGAAUGUGCCUUGCUAGCUACCCCCGUGCAUGGCAGUCUCUACUCACGAGAAAGGGCAUUUGUAUUUCUUGAAGGGCUCGUGGAUCAACAUGUGUCUCUUCAGUUUGUCCUUGCGGUUGAAUGCAGACUCGCACACUGAGCAUUUGUAGGGCUUCUCACCUGCAGCAGACACAGACAGGGAGCACCAGCACCCAUCAGAAGGAGUUGGAAUCCAGAGCACAAGGGUGCCCACUGGGCAACGUCUCCUCAAGAAGGGAGGUGGCCAGGGGGAAAAUAGCCUCUCUCAUUCUUCGUGGCUUUCUUUUGCCAGGGACAAGAGGGGGCUAUUUGCCAGGGACAAGGAUGAUCAGGAGGGGCCUCUCUGAUGACGACAUGUGUGAGGAGAGACCUGAGGUUAUCAGGGAGAUCUGGGAGAGGGUCCAGGCAGCAGAGAAAGCAGGUGCAAAGACCCUGAGGCAACAGUGGAUUUGGUGGUGCUCAUGAGCAGCAGGGAGGCUGGUGCAGCCAGAGAACCAGGCAGAAGGUGAGGGCAGCGGGGCAGCCAGGCCCACCUGGGAGGACCUGGAAGGCUGAGCUACGGACUUGGCUUUUUUUAAUUUGAGACAGAACCUUGCUCUAUCACCCAGGCUGGGGUGCAGUGGUGAGAUUUCAGCUCACUGCAACUUCCUACCUCAGGCUCCCAAGGAGAUGGGAUUUACAGGCAUGUGCCACCACGCCCAGCUAAUUUUGGUAUUUUUAGUAGAGAUGGGUUUUCACCAUGUUGACCAGGCUGGUCUCGAACUCCUGACCUCAAGUGAUCCGCCCACUCAGCUUCCCAAAAUGCUGGGAUUACAGGCGUGAGCCACUGCCGGCCAGGUUUGGUUUUUACUCUGAGCCAGAUGAGAAGCCACCAGAGGGCCUGAGCAGCGAAGGAAAGGGCUUUGAUGUAAGCUUUUAACAGGAUCCCUCUGUCUGCGUGAGGAGAGCAGACUGAUGGGGUGAGGGUGGAGGUGAGGGUAACCAGGAAGUGGUCCAGGACAGCCAUGGCGGGAAGGCAGAGGCAGCAGCCCCUGCCUCUGGAUUAGCUGUGAUUGUGAGAGAUGCAGGGGGAGUCAAGGAUGAAACUGAGGCGUGGCCUGAGUAGCAAGGUGGCCUCACGGCAUUUAUGGCGAUGAGAUCCACCCUGGAGGACGAGCAAUCACACCUUAUCUAACUGAAUCCUUCCAACAAACCAGGAGGCACGUGCUCCCAUCAUCCCCGUUUCACAGAUGAAAAGACUGAGGUUCAGAGAAGUGAAGGGACUGGCUCAGGGGCUACCCCUGUGGUUGGAGGAGCUAAGAUUUCAGCCCAUCUGAGCUACCCCAGCUCUUCCUGCUGUUGAACCUGUCCUGGGGCAGCUCUCGCCUGAUGGGUGACCUGAGGAACCCAUAGGAAAUCAAGGGAGGUGCCUACAAAGUUCCCAUGAGGUCACAGCCUGCCUUUGGAUGGAAGGGGCCAUUUCUGGGCUGCUGUGACUUCCUGCCAUUAUUUCCUCUCUUCUCCCUCUGGAAUGAAUAAAGUACUUCUGAAAAAAUAUCAAUCCAGUUGAUACGGAAAUUCUAGUCCCUACUAUGGAAUGCUCUGUGGUCGUUAAAAAGAUUAAAGAGGUCAA